GACGAACGCUGGCGGCGUGCUUAACACAUGCAAGUCGAACGGAAAGGCCCUGCUUUUGUGGGGUGCUCGAGUGGCGAACGGGUGAGUAACACGUGAGUAACCUGCCCUUGACUUUGGGAUAACUUCAGGAAACUGGGGCUAAUACCGGAUAGGAGCUCCUGCUGCAUGGUGGGGGUUGGAAAGUUUCGGCGGUUGGGGAUGGACUCGCGGCUUGUCAGCUUGUUGGUGGGGUAGUGGCUUACCAAGGCUUUGACGGGUAGCCGGCCUGAGAGGGUGACCGGCCACAUUGGGACUGAGAUACGGCCCAGACUCCUACGGGAGGCAGCAGUGGGGAAUAUUGCACAAUGGGCGGAAGCCUGAUGCAGCAACGCCGCGUGCGGGAUGACGGCCUUCGGGUUGUAAACCGCUUUCGCCUGUGACGAAGCGUGUGUGACGGUAAUGGGUAAAGAAGCACCGGCUAACUACGUG
rnacentral:rRNA from 1 species